rnacentral:lncRNA from 1 species
GCGAGGCUAGUCAAACCUAGCAGGUGGAGGCCAUUGAACGAGAGCGUGUAGCACUUGAAGGCGGAUCUUUUGUGUAACACAGAUUGAUGGCUUAUCUGCCUACCACAGACACUGAACCUGUCAAAGAUAGCUGGACCAUCAUUUUCCCUCCUAACGUAAAUGCUGUAGCGCACAGGAGAUGACAUCUUGAUUAUGUGAAACUUUGAUGUUGAACUUGGUAUCCAUGUUGUACUUUUGAAAAUGUUUUAACAUGGUGCAAAUUUAACUUAAAUAGCAGACGGAGUAUGGUACAUACAUCCCUAGGCUGACAUGUUGUGAAAGCAUUUCUACUUCUUUUAUGAUGGAUGAUGAAAAUUUUGUUUGACUGAAAAACUCUUAUAGAAGAAAGCAUAUGUAUGCUGCUAUCAUUCUGCCCGCAUCAUCACCAAAUGGCAACGCAGCUCCAUCACACCAUUUUGCUGGCUGUAGUCAAAUACUCCCUCCGUUUUUUAUUUACUCCCCAUAUUAGCUUUGAUUGAAGUCAAACUUUAUAAGGUUUGUAGAAAACAAUAUGAAUAUUUACAAUAACAAAUUUGUAUGAUGUGAAAAUAUAUGCAAUGAUGAAUCCGAUGGUAUUGAUUUGGUAGUUAAUAUACUAUUUUUCUACAAACUUGUUGAAAGUAUACAAAGUUUGACUUUAGACAAACCUAAUAUACGGAGUAAAUAAAAACAGAGAGAGUAUUAUUUCGCCUUGAAGACACAAAAGGAGAUAUAAUAAAUACAUCAGUUUCGUUCACAACAAUGGAGCCAAAGUUACAACACACGUCUACAUAAUGUAUAUCAAUAGGGUUUGAAUCAAUAGAGCAACAAUAUACUGAACUGAUGAUAUGGACACAAAGGGAACAUCAAGCACACUAUUAAACCGGCACGCAGGCCGCCGAGUUAGUUUUGGGCAAGCACACUAUUACCGACAGGAAACGCUGACAUGGUAGCAUUGUUCUCCUGGCCCGUGGCGUCCACCCUCAGGCGUCAUGUGAAAGAAAUAUGCCCUAAGAGGCAAUAAUAAAAUUAUUAUUUUUUUCCUUAUAUCAUGAUAAAUGUUUAUUAUUCAUGCUAGAAUUGUAUUAACCGGAAACAUAAUACAUGUGUGAAUACAUAGACAAACAGAUUGUCACUAGUAUGCCUCUACUUGACUAGCUCGUUGAUCAAAGAUGGUUAUGUUUCAUAACCAUAGAUAUGAGUUGUCAUUUGAUUAACGGGGUCACAUCAUUAGGAGAAUGAUGUGAUUGACUGGACCCAUUCCGUUAGCUUAGCACACGAUCGUUUUAGUAAUAUGCUAUUGCUUUCUUCAUGACUUAUACAUGUUCCUAUGACUAUGAGAUUAUGCAACUCCCGUUUACCGGAGGAACACUUUGUGUGCUACCAAACGUCAGAACGUAACUGGGUGAUUAUAAAGGUGGUCUACAGGUGUCUCCAAAGGUACUUGUUGGGUUGGCAUAUUUCGAGAUUAGGAUUUGUCACUCCGAAUAUCAGAGAGGUAUCUCUGGGCCCUCUCGGUAAUGCACACCACUUAAGCCUUGCAAGCAUUGCUACUAAUGAGUUAGUUGCGGGAUGAUGUAUUACAAAACGAGUAAAGAGACUUGCCGGUAACGAGAUUGAACUAGGUAUUGAGAUACCGACGAUCGAAUCUCGGGCAAGUAACAUACCGAUGACAAAGGGAACAACGUAUGUUGUUAUGCGGUUUGACCGGUAAAGAUCUUCGUAGAAUAUGUGGGAGCCAAUAUGAACAACCAGGUUUCACUAUUGGUUAUUGACCGGAGACACGUCUCGGUCAUGUCUACAUAGUUCUCGAACCCGUAGGGUCCGCACGCUUAAAGUUUCGAUGACGGUUAUAUUAUGAGUUUAUAUGUUUUGAUGUACCGAAGGUUGUUCGGAGUCUCGGAUGUGAUCCCGGACAUGACGAGGAGUCUCGAAAUGGUCGAGACAUGAAGAUUGAUAUAUUGGAAGCCUAUGUUUGUGUUGGGGAACGUAGUAAUUUCAAAAAUUUCCUAUGCACACGCAAGAUCAUGGUGAUGCAUAGCAAUGAGAGGGGAGAGUGUUGUCUAUGUACCCUCGUAGACCGGAAACGGAAGUGUUAGCACAACACAGUUAAUGUAGUCGUACGUCUUCACGGCCCGACCGAUCAAGCACCAAAACUACGGCACCUCCGAGUUUUAGCACACGUUCAGCUCGAUGAUGAUCCCCGGACUCCGAUCUAGCAAAGUGUCGGGGAUGAGUUCGGUCAGCACGACAGUGUGGUGACGAUCUUGAUGUUUUACCGUCGCAGGGCUUCGCCUAAGCACCGCUACAAUAUUAUCGAGGACUAUGGUGGAGGGGGGCACCGCACACGGCUAAGAGAUCAAUGAUCAACUGUUGUGUCUCUGGGGUGCCCCCUGCCCCCGUAUAUAAAGGAGUGGAGGAGGGGGCCGACCAAGGAGGGUGGCGCGCCCUAAGGGGGAGUCCAACUCCCACAGGGAGUAGGACUCCCCUUUUUCCUAUUAGGAGUAGGAGAGGGAAGGAAGAGGAAGGAGGGAGGAAGGAAAGGGGGGCCGGCCCCCUCCCAAUUCGGAUUGGGCUUGGGGGGGGGGGCGCCCCCUCCCUUGCUCCUUUCCCCUCCUUUCCACUAAGGCCCAAUAAGGCCCAUAUACCUCCCGGGGGGUUCCGAUAACCUCCAAGUGAUCCGGUAUUGUCCCAAUCUCACCUGGAACCUUCCCGAUGUCCAAAUAUAGUCGUCCAAUAUAUCGAUCUUUAUGUCUCGACCAUUUCGAGACUCCUCGUCAACUCCGUGAUCACAUCUGGGACUCCGAACAACCUUAAGUACAUCAAAAUAUAUAAACUCAUAAUGAAACUGUCAUCGUAACGUUAAGCGUGCGGACCCUACGGGUUCGAGAACAAUGUAGACAUGAUCGAGACACGUCUCCGGUCAAUAACCAAUAGCAGAACCUGGAUGCUCAUAUUUGCUCCUACAUAUUCUACGAAGAUCUUUAUCGGUCAGACCGCAUAACAACAUACUUUGUUCCCUUUGUCAUAGGUAUGUUACUUGCCCGAGAUUCGAUCGUCGGUAUCUCAAUACCUAGUUCAAUCUAGUUACCGGCAAGUCUCUUUACUCGUUCUGUAAUACAUCAUCUUGCAACUAACUUAUUAGUUGCAUUGCUUGCAAGGCUUAAGUGAUGUGCAUUACCGAGAGGGCCCAGAGAUACCUCUCCGACAAUCGGAGUGACAAAUCCUAAUCUCGAAAUACGCCAACCCAACAUGUACCUUUGGAGACACCUGUAGAGCACCUUUAUAAUCACCCAGUUAAGUUGUGACGUUUGGUAGCACACAAAGUGUUCCUCCGGUAAACGGGAGUUGCAUAAUCUCAUAGUCAUAGGAACAUGUAUAAGUCAUAAAGAAAGCAAUAGCAACAUACUAAACGAUCGGGUGCUAAGCUAAUGGAAUGGGUCAUGUCAAUCAUAUCAUUCUCCUAAUGAUGUGAUCCCAUUAAUCAAAUGACAACUCAUGUCUGUGGUUAGGAAACAUAAACAUCUUCGAUUAACGAGCUAGUCAAAUAGAGGCAUACUAGUGACACUCUGUUUGUCUAUGUAUUCACACAUGUAUUAUGUUUCCGGUUAAUACAAUUCUAGCAUGAAUAAUAAACAUUUAUCAUGAUAUAAGGAAAUAAAUAAUAACUUUAUUAUUGCUUCUAGGGCAUAUUUCCUUCAGUCUCCCACUUGCACUAGAGUCAAUAAUCUAGAUUACACAGUAAUGAUUCUAACACCCAUGGAGCCUUGGUGUUGAUCAUGUUUUGCUCGUGGAAGAGGCUUAGUCAAUGAGUCUGCUACAUUCAGAUCCGUAUGUAUCUUGCAAAUCUCUAUGUCUCCCACCUGGACUAGAUCCUGGAUGGAAUUGAAGCGUCUCUUGAUGUGCUUGGUUCUCUUGUGAAAUCUGGAUUCCUUUGCCAAGGCAAUUGCACUAGUAUUGUCACAAAAGAUUUUCAUUGGACCUGAUGCACUAGGUAUGACACCUAGAUCGGAUAUGAACUCCUUCAUCCAGACUCCUUCGUUUGCUGCUUCCGAAGCAGCUAUGUACUCUGCUUCACAUGUAGAUCCCGCCACGACGCUUUGUUUAGAACUGCACCAACUGACAGCUCCACCGUUUAAUAUAAAUACGUAUCCGGUUUGCGAUUUAGAAUCGUCCGGAUCAGUGUCAAAGCUUGCAUCAACAUAACCAUUUACGAUGAGCUCUUUGUCACCUCCAUAUACGAGAAACAUAUCCUUAGUCCUUUUCAGGUAUUUCAGGAUGUUCUUGACCGCUGUCCAGUGAUCCACUCCUGGAUUACUUUGGUACCUCCCCGCUAGACUUAUAGCAAGGCACACAUCAGGUCUGGUACACAGCAUUGCAUACAUGAUAGAGCCUAUGGCUGAAGCAUAGGGAACAUUUUUCAUUUUCUUUCUAUCUUCUGCGGUGGUCGGGCAUUGAGUCUUACUCAACUUCACACCUUGUAACACAUGCAAGAAUCCUUUCUUUGCUUGAUCCAUUUUGAACUUCUUCAAAACUUUGUCAAGGUAUGUGCUUUGUGAAAGUCCAAUUAAGCGUCUUGAUCUAUCUCUAUAGAUCUUAAUGCCCAAUAUGUAAGCAGCUUCACCGAGGUCUUUCAUUGAAAAACUCUUAUUCAAGUAUCCCUUUAUGCUAUCCAGAAAUUCUAUAUCAUUUCCGAUUAGCAAUAUGUCAUCCACAUAUAAUAUCAGAAAUGCUACAGAGCCCCCACUCACUUUCUUGUAAAUACAGGCUUCUCCAAAAGUCUGUAUAUAAACCAAAUGCUUUGAACACACUAUCAAAGCGUUUAUUCCAACUCCGAGAGGCUUGCACCGGUCCAUAAAUGGAUCGCUGGAGCUUGCACACUUUGUUAGCUCCCUUUGGAUCUACAAAACCUUCCGGCUGCAUCAUAUACAACUCUUCUUCCAGAAAUUCAUUCAGGAAUGUAGUUUUGACAUCCAUCUGCCAAAUAAAAAUGCGGCAAUUGCUAACAUGAUUCGGAUAGACUUAAGCAUCACUACGGGUGAGAAGGUCUCAUCGUAGUCAAUCCCUUGAACUUGUCGAAAACCUUUUGCGACAAGUCAAGCUUUGUAGAUAGUAACAUUACCGUCAGCGUCAGUCUUCUUCUUGAAGAUCCAUUUAUUCUCAAUUGCUUGUCGACCAUUGGGCAAGUCAACCAAAGUACACACUUUGUUCUCAUACAUGGAUCCCAUCUCAGAUUUCAUGGCUUCAAGCCAUUUUGCGGAAUCUGGGCUCACCAUCGCUUCUUCAUAGUUCGUAGGUUCAUCAUGAUCUAGUAUCAUGACUUCUAGAACAUGAUUACCGUACCACUCUGGUGUGGAUCUUACUCUGGUUGAUCUACGAGGUUCAGUAGUAACUUGUUCUGAAGUUUCAUGAUCAUCAUCAUUAGCUUCCUCACUAAUUGGUGUAGGUGUCACAGAAACCGGUUUCUGUGAUGUACUACUUUCCAACAAGGAAGCAGGUACAGUUACCUCAUCAAGUUCUACUUUCCUCCCACUCACUUCUUUCGAGAGAAACUCCUUCUCUAGAAAGGAUCCAUUCUUAGCAACAAAUGUCUUGCCUUCGGAUCUGUGAUAGAAGGUGUACCCAACAGUCUCCUUUGGGUAUCCUAUGAAGACACAUUUCUCCGAUUUGGGUUCGAGCUUAUCAGGUUGAAGCUUUUUCACAUAAGCAUCGCAGCCCCAAACUUUCAGAAACGACAACUUUGGUUUCUUGCCAAACCAUAGUUCAUAAGGUGUCAUCUCAACGGAUUUUGAUAGUGCCCUAUUUAACGUGAAUGCGGCCGUCUCUAAAGCAUAAACCCCAAAACGAUAGCGGUAAAUUUGUAAGAGACAUCAUAGAUCGCACCAUAUCAAGUAAAGUACGAUUACGAUGUUCGGACACACCAUUACGCUGUGGUGUUCCGGGUGGCGUGAGUUGCGAAACUAUUCCGCAUUGUUUCAAAUGUAAACCAAACUCGUAACUCAAAUAUUCUCCUCCACGAUCAGAUCGUCGAAACUUUAUUUUCUUAUUACGAUGAUUUUCAACUUCACUCUGAAAUUCUUUGAACUUUUCAAAUGUUUCAGACUUAUGUUUCAUUAAGUAGAUAUACCCAUAUCUGCUUAAAUCAUCUAUGAAGGUGAGAAAAUAACGAUAUUCGCCACGAGCUUCAACAUUCAUUGGACCACAUACAUCUGUAUGUAUGAUUUCUAACAAAUCUGUUGCUCUCUCCAUAGUACCGGAGAACGGCAUUUUAGUCAUCUUGCCCAUGAGGCACGGUUCGCAAGUACCAAGUGAUUCAUAAUCAAGUGGUUCCAAAAGUCCAUCAGUAUGGAGUUUCUUCAUGCGCUUUACACCGAUAUGACCUAAACGGCAGUGCCACAAAUAAGUUGCACUAUCAUUAUUAACUCUGCAUCUUUUGGCUUUAACAUUAUGAAUAUGUGUAUCACUAUUAUCAAGAUUCAUCAAGAAUAGAUCACUCUUCAAGGGUGCAUGACCAUAAAAGAUAUUACUCAUAUAAAUAGAACAACAUUAUUCUCUGAUUUAAAUGAAUAACCGUCUCGCAUCAAACAAGAUCCAGAUAUAAUGUUUAUUCUCAACGCUGGCACCAAAUAACAAUUAUUUAGGUCUAAUACUAAUCCCGAUGGUAGAUUUAGAGGUAGCGUGCCGACCGCGAUCACAUCGACUUUGGAACCAUUUCCCACGCGCAUCGUCACCUCGUCCUUCGCCAGUGUUCGCUUAAUCCGUAGUCCCUGUUUCGAGUUGCAAAUAUUAGCAACAGAACCAGUAUCAAAUACCCAGGUGCUACUGCGAGAUCUAGUAAGGUACACAUCAAUAACAUGUAUAUCACAUAUACCUUUGUUCUCCUUGCCAUCCUUCUUAUCCGCCAAAUACUUGGGGCAGUUCCGCUUCCAGUGACCAGUCUGCUUGCAGUAGAAGCACUCAGUUUCAGGCUUAGGUCCAGACUUGGGUUUCUUCUCCUGAGCAGCAACUUGCUUGCUGUUCUUCUUGAAGUUCCCCUUCUUCUUCCCCUUGCCCUUUUUCUUGAAACUAGUGGUCUUGUUGACCAUCAACACUUGAUGCUCCUUCUUGAUUUCUACCUCCGCAACUUUUAGCAUUGCGAAGAGCUCGGGAAUUGUCUUAUUCAUCCCUUGCAUAUUAUAGUUCAUCUCGAAGCUCUUGUAGCUAGGUGGAAGUGAUUGGAGAAUUCUUUCAAUGACACAAUCAUCCGGAAGAUUAACUCCCAGUUGAAUUAAGUGAUUAUUAUACCCAGACAUUUUGAGUAUAUGCUCACCGACAGAACUGUUCUCCUCCAUCUUGCAGCUAUAGAACUUAUUGGAGACUUCAUAUCUCUCAAUCCGGGCAUUUGCUUGAAAUAUUAACUUCAACUCCUGGAACAUCUCAUAUGCUCCAUGACGUUCAAAAUGUCGUUGAAGUCCCGAUUCUAAGCCGUAAAGCAUGGCACACUGAACUAUCGAGUAGUCAUUAGCUUUGCUCCGCCAGACGUUCAUAACAUCUGGUGUUGCUCCAGCAGCAGGCCUGGCACCCAGCGGUGCUUCCAGGACGUAAUUCUUCUGUGCAGCAAUGAGGAUAAUCCUCAAGUUACGGACCCAGUCCGUAUAAUUGCUACCAUCAUCUUUCAACUUUGCUUUCUCAAGGAACGCAUUAAAAUCCAACGGAAUAACAACACGGGCCAUCUAUCUACAAUUAAACAUAAACAAGCAAGAUACUAUCAGGUACUAAGUUUAUGAUAAAUUUAAGUUUAAUUAAUCAUAUUACUUAAGAACUCCCACUUAGAAAGACAUCCCUCUAAUCUUUUAAGUGAUCACGUGAUCCAAAUCAACUAAACCAUAACCGAUCAUCACGUGAAAUGGAGUAGCUUUCAAUGGUGAACAUCACUAUGUUGAUCAUAUCUACUAUAUGAUUCACGCUCGACCUUUCGGUCUCAGUGUUCCGAGGCCAUAUCUGCAUAUGCUAGGCUCGUCAAGUUUAACCUGAGUAUUCUGCGUGUGCAAAACUGGCUUGCACCCGUUGUAGAUGGACGUAGAGCUUAUCACACCCGAUCAUCACGUGGUGUCUAGGCACGACGAACUUUGGCAACGGUGCAUACUCAGGGAGAACACUUUUAUCUUGAAAUUUAGUGAGAGAUCAUCUCAUAAUGCUACCAUCAAUCAAAGCAAGAUAAGAUGCAUAAAAGAUAAACAUCACAUGCAAUCAAUAUAAGUGAUAUGAUAUGGCCAUCAUCAUCUUGUGCUUGUGAUCUCCAUCUCCAAAGCAUCGUCAUGAUCACCAUCGUCACCGGCGCGACACCUUGAUCUCCAUCAUAGCAUCGUUGUCGUCUCGCCAAUCUUAUGCUUCCAUGACUAUCGCUACCGCUUAAUGAUAAAGUAAAGCAUUACAGCGUGAUUGCAUUGCAUACAAUAAAGCGACAACCAUAUGGCUCCUGCCAGUUGCCGAUAACUCGGUUACAAAACAUGAUCAUCUCAUACAAUAAAAUUUAGCAUCAUGUCUUGACCAUAUCACAUCACAACAUGCCCUGCAAAAACAAGUUAGACGUCCUCUACUUUGUUGUUGCAAGUUUUACGUGGCUGUUACGGGCUUAGCAAGAACCGUUCUUACCUACGCAUCAAAACCACAAUGAUAAUUUGUCAAGUUGGUGCUGUUUUAACCUUCGCAAGGGCCGGGCGUAGCCACACUCGGUUCAACUAAAGUUGGAGAAACUGACACCCGUCAGCCACCUGUGUGCAAAGCACGUCGGUAGAACCAGUCUCGUGUAAGCGUACGCGUAAUGUCGGUCCGGGCCGCUUCAUCCAACAAUACCGCCGAACCAAAGUAUGACAUGCUGGUAAGCAGUAUGACUUAUAUCGCCCAAAACUCACUUGUUUUCUACUCGUGCAUAACAUCAACGCAUAAAACCUAGGCUCGGAUACCACUGUUGGGGAACAUAGUAAUUUCAAAAUUUUCCUACGCACACGCAAGAUCAUGGUGAUGCAUAGCAAUGAGAGGGGAGAGUGUUGUCUACGUACCCUCGUAGACCGGAAGCGGAAGUGUUAGCACAACGCGGUUGAUGUAGUCGUACGUCUUCACGGCCCGACCGAUCAAGCACCGAAACUACGGCACCUCCGAGUUUUAGCACACGUUCAGCUUGAUGACGAUCCCCGGACUCCGAUCCAGCAAAGUGUCAGGGAUGAGUUCCGUCAGCACGACGGCGUGGUGACGAUCUUGAUGUUUUACCGUCGCAGGGCUUUGCCUAAGCACCGCUACAAUAUUAUCGAGGACUAUGGUGGAGGGGGGCACCGCACACGGCUAAGAGAUCAAUGAUCAACUGUUGUGUCUCCGGGGUGCCCCCUGCCCCCGUAUAUAAAGGAGUGGAGGAGGGGCCCGGCCAAGGAGGGUGGCGCACCCUAAGGCGGAGUCCAACUCCCACAGGGAGUAGGACUCCCCCUUUUCCUAUUAGGAGUAGGAGAGGGAAGGAAGAGGAAGGAGGGAGGAAGGAAAGGGGGGCCAGCCCCCCUCCCAAUUCGGAUUGGGCUUGGGGGGGGGCGCCCCCUCCCUUGCUCUUUUCCCCUCCUUUCCACUAAGGCCCAAUAAGGCCCAUAUACCUCCCGGGGGGUUCCGAUAACCUCCCGGUGAUCUGGUAUUGUCCCAAUCUCACCCGGAACCUUCCCGGUGUCCAAAUAUAGUCAUCCAAUAUAUCGAUAUUUAUGUCUCGACCAUUUCGAGACUCCUCGUCAACUCCGUGAUCACAUUCGGGACUCCGAACAACCUUCGGUACAUCAAAAAUAUAUAAACUCAUAAUGAAACUGUCAUCGUAACGUUAAGCGUGCGGACCCUACGGGUUCGAGAACAAUGUAGACAUGACCGAGACACGUCUCCGGUCAAUAACCAAUAGCGGAACCUGGAUGCUCAUAUUGGCUCCUACAUAUUCUACGAAGAUCUUUAUCGGUCAGACCGCAUAACAACAUACGUUUGUUCCCUUUGUCAUCGGUAUGUUACUUGCCCGAGAUUCGAUCGUCGGUAUCUCAAUACCUAGUUCAAUCUCGUUACCGGCAAGUCUCUUUACUCGUUCUGUAAUACAUCAUCUUGCAACUAACUUAUUAGUUGCAUUGCUUGCAAGGCUUAAGUGAUGUGCAUUACCGAGAGGGCCCAGAGAUACUUCUCCGACAAUCGAAGUGACAAAUCCUAAUCUCGAAAUACGCCAACCCAACAUGUACCUUUGGAGACACCUGUAGAGCACCUUUAUAAUCACCCAGUUACGUUGUGACGUUUGGUACCACACAAAGUGUUCCUCCGGUAAACGGGAGUUGCAUAAUCUCAUAGUCAUAGGAACAUGUAUAAGUCAUGAAGAAAGCAAUAGCAACAUACUAAACAAUCGGGUGCUAAGCUAAUGGAAUGGGUCAUGUCAAUCACAUCAUUCUCCUAAUGAUGUGAUCCCGUUAAUCAAAUGACAACUCAUGUCUAUGGUUAGGAAACAUAACCAUCUUCGAUUAACGAGCUAGUCAAGUAGAGGCAUACUAGUGACACUCUGUUUGUCUAUGUAUUCACACAUGUAUUAUGUUUCCGGUUAAUACAAUUCUAGCAUGAAUAAUAAACAUUUAUCAUGAUAUAAGGAAAUAAAUAAUAACUUUAUUAUUGCCUCUAGGGCAUAUUUCCUUCAGUUUGGAUAUCGGAAGUGUUCCGGAUGAAAUCGGGAUUUUACCGGAGUACCGGGAGGUUACCGGAACCCCCCAGGGACUUAAUGGGCCUUAGUGGGCCUAGGUGAAAGAGAGGAAAGGCGGCUAGGGCUGGGCCGCGCGCUCGUCCCCCCCCAGUCCGAAUAGGACAAGGAGAGGGGGCGGCGCCCCCCUUCCUUCUUCUCCUCCACUCCUUCCCCCCUCCCAAGUCCUAAUCCAACUAGGAAAGGGGGGAGUCCUACUCCCGGUGGGAGUAGGACUCCUUCUGGCGCGCCUCCUCCCUGGCCGGUCGCACCCCCCUUGCUCCUUUAUAUACGGGGGCAGGGGGCACCCCAUAGACACAACAAUUGAUUGUUUGAUCUUUUAGCCGUGUGCGGUGCCCCCCUCCAUCAUAGUCCACCUCGAUAUUACUGUAGCGGUGCUUAGGCGAAGCCCUGCGUCGGUAGAACAUCAACAUCGUCACCACGCCGUCGUGCUGACAAAGCUCUCCCUCAACACUCGGCUAGAUCGGAAUUCGAGGGACGUCAUCGGGAUGAACGUGUGCUGAACUCGGAGGUGCCGUACGUUCGGUACUUGAUCGGUCGGAUUGUGAAGACGUACGACUACAUCAACCUCUUUGUGCUAACGCUUCCACUUUCGGUCUACGAGGGUACGUGGACAACACUCUCCCCUCUCGUUGCUAUGCAUCACCAUGAUCUUGCGUGUGCGUAGGAAUUUUUUUGAAAUUACUACGUUCCUCAUCAUCAUGUGUGUGCCAUGGCAAGCACACGCGAUCUUCACUUCGCUUCUGUCUGAAGAAAAAGAAAAUCUCAUUCUACCUCUAUUCUUCAUCUGCACAAGAUAAUUUUUCAUUUUAUAGGAAAUGAGAUUUCAUUUUACUAAUUACAGGGAAACAACUCAUGCGAUACACCCCGCCUCGUGCGCCUCUGAGCAUUUUUCAGCAUGCGAGGAAAGUGAACAUGGCCAAAAUGUUUAAUGGACAAUGUGGAUUGUGGAGUAAGAUUGCUUAUCACGUGCUACUGACUAGAUAUCGAACAUGUCGAUGUUGAGUCGGAUUGUCCCCAGGACCCAGGUGAUUAACAACAUCAAGGAUGACUCUGGUGGUGGGCCAGCCCAUGUAGAUUUCACAUUUUAUUUCCCUUGGUUGAAUUAAAAACAAAAAAUCACAAAAGGCGAAGAAAUACGUGAAUUCAAAAAAGUUCAUGGAUUUUGAAAAAAGAUCAUGAAUUUGAAAAAAAGUUGACACGGAAACCAUCAUUGGGUGUCGUUUACACAGCCGCUGACACAGAGCUCACUCAAGGCAGGGCACCGUCGACACGGAACCCGUUCAAGAAAGGACGUUGUCUAUUCCACGACGGAACUCACCCAAGGCAAGAUAUCGUCUACACUACCGCCGACACGAAGCUCACGCUAGGCAGGGCGUCGUCUACACCAUCGCUGACAUAGAGCCUAUCGAAGGCGGGGUGACAUCUAGGUUGUCGCCGACAUGAUCCAUCGUUUGGGUGUCAUUUACAUCCGCUCUCCUAUUCACUUCACCACCACAACACCAUCGGCUACACUAAGCAUACCGAGAAGAAGAGAUCCGAGUGUACCAGCUUAAUUGGAGAUGGUAUGCAACAUCAACCCAUGGAAGCAAAUAAUCAAGAGCCAAAGUUACAAAGAGGCCUCAACUAUUCUAAUAUGUUAUUUCAGAUCUAAAUUAUAUAGAAGACAACACUGGAGGCACGGAUGUCACCGUUGGCAUUCUUGCAAAGAUGGACAAAGUGACUCUUCUGCAGGUUACAGAACGAUCAUAAACUUUGAUUGCUCCAAAUUUCGGGGUCUCCCUAGCCCAUGCCUCAGCUGCAACACAAACUUUCUAAUGCAACACAUUUCUUAUGUGCUUAGUUUGCUGCAUUACAUCAUUCAUUCACAGCAACACUAAUGCUCAAAUGGCGAUUUUCAGAUGGACGUGAAACUACCAAUGGACACAAUUGAGACUGUGAUGACCUUGCAAGUGAAGGGUGCAAAGCGAUCGCAACCUACAUCCGAGAGGUUAAGAACCGUUCCUUGUUCUCGGCCGCCCUUGCUCAAUUACAUCUCCAGACUUGUCGUCCUACCGUUGGACACACUGAAACCUUAUUGUUGUGUACAGCAUUGAUUUCCCAUUGUAUGGAACCUGAAUGCCGAUUGGUUGUGCUGUGAUGCUGAAGCAGGUGCUAUUGGAGAACACGAAGCAGCUGGAGUGUCAGCGAGGCUAGUUAAACCUAGCAGGUGGAGGCCAUUGAACGAGAGCGUGUAGCACUUGAAGGCGGAUCUUUUGUGUAACAUAGAUUGAUGGCUUAUCUACCUAGCACAGACACUGAACCUGUCAAAGAUAGCUGGACCAUCAUUUCCCCUCCUAACGUAAAUGUUGUGGCGCACAGGAGAUGACAUCUUGAUUAUGUGAAACUUUGAUGUUGAACUUGGUAUCCAUGUUGUACUUUUGAAAAUGUUUUAACAUGGUGCAAAUUUAACUUAAAUAGCAGACGGAGUAUAGUACAUACAUACCCAGCUUGACAUGUUGUGAAAGCAUUUCUACUUCUUUUAUGAUGGAUGAUGAAAAUUUUGUUUGACUGAAAAUCUCUUAUAGAAGAAAGCAUAUGUAUGCUGCUAUCAUUCUGCCUGCAUCAUCACCAAAUGGCAACGCAGCUCCAUCACACCAUUUUGCUGGCUGCAGUCAAAUACUCCCUCCGUUUUUUAUUUACUCCCCAUAUUAGCUUUGAUUGAAGUCAAACUUUAUAAGGUUUGUAGAAAACAAUAUGAAUAUUUACAAUAAAAAAUUUGUAUGAUGUGAAAAUAUAUGCAAUGAUGAAUCCGAUGGUAUUGAUUUGGUAGUUAAUAUACUAUUUUUCUACAAACUUGUUGAAAGUAUACAAAGUUUGACUUUAGACAAACCUAAUAUACGGAGUAAAUAAAAACAGAGAGAGUAUUAUUCUUUCUUGAAGACACAAAAGGAGCUAUAAUAAAUACAUCAGUUUCGUUCACAACAAUGGAGCCAAAGUUACAACAUGACACACGUCUACAUAAUUUAUAUCAAUAGGGUUUGAAUCAACAGAGGAACAAUAUACUGAACUGAUGAUAUGGACACAAAGGGAACAGCAAGCACACUAUUAAACCGGCACGCAAGCCGCCGAGUUAGUGUUGGGUAAGCACACUAUUACCGACAGGAAACGAUGACAUGGUAGCAUUGUUCUCCUGGCCCGUGGCAUCCACGCUAGUGUGUCACGUGAACUCCUCAGGCGUCAUGUGUGUGCCAUGGCAAGCACGCACGAUCAUCACUUCGUUUCUGUCCGAAGAAAAAGAAAAUCUUAUUCUACCUAUAUUCUUCAUCUGCGCAAGAUAAUUUUUCAUUUUAUAGGAAAUGAGGUUUCAUUUUACUAAUUAUAGGGAAACAACUCAUGCGAUACGCCCCGCCUCGUGCGCCUCUGAGCAUUUUUCAGCAUGCAAUGAAAGUGAACAUGGCCAAAAUGUUUAUUUCAAAUGGACAAUGUGGAUUGCGGAGUAUGAUUGCUUAUCGCGUGCUACUGACUGGAUAUCGAACAUGUCGAUGUUGAGUCGGAUUGUCCCCAGGACCCAGGUGAUUAACAAUAUGAAGGAUGACUCUGGUGGUGGGCCGGCCCAUGUAGAUUUCACAUUUUAUUUCCCCUGGUUGAAUUAAAAAAACAAAAAAUCACAAAAGGCGAAGAAAUACGUGAAUUCAAAAAAGUUCAUGGAUUUUGGAAAAAGAUCAUGAAUUUGUAAAAAAGUUGACACGAAAACCAUCAUUGGGUGUCGUUUACACAGUCGCCGACGCGGAGCUCACUCAAGGCAGGGCGCCAUCGACACGGAACCCGUUCAAGAAAGGACGUUGUCUAUUCCACGACGGAACUCGCCCAAGGCGAGAUAUCGUCUACACUAGCGCCGACACGAAGCUCACGCUAGGCAGGGCGUCGUCUACACCAUCGCUGACAUAGAGCCUAUCCAAGGCGGGGUGACGUCUAGGUUGUCGCCGACAUGAUCCAUCGUUUGGGUGUCAUUUACAUCCGCUCUCCUCUUCACUUCACCACCACAACACCAUCGGCUACACUAAGCAUACUGAGAAGAAUAGAUCCAAGUGUACCAGCUUAAUUGGAGAUGGUAUGCAACUUUAACCCAUGGACGCGAAUAAUCAAGAGCCAAAGUGACAAAGAGGCCUCAACCAUUCUAGUAUGUUAUUUCAGAUCUGAAUUAUAUAGAAGACAACGCUGGAGGCGCGGAUGUCACCGUUGGCAUUCUUGCAAAGAUGGCCAAAGUGACUCUUCUGCAGGUUACAGAACGAUCAUAAACUUUGAUUGCUCCAAAUUUCAGGGUCUCCCUAGCCCACGCCUCAUCUGCAACACAAACUUUCUGAUGCAACACAUUUCUUAUGUGCUUAGUUUGCUGCAUGACAUCAUUCAUUCACAGCAACACUAAUGCUCGAAUGGCGAUUUUCAGAUGGACACGAAACUACCAAUGGACACAUUUGAGACUAUGAUGGACCUUGCAAGUGAAGGGCGCAAAGCGAUCGCAACCUACAUCCGAGAGGUUAAGAACCGUUCCUUGUUCUCGGCCGCCCUUGCUCAAUUACAUCUCCAAACUUGUCGUCCUACCAUUGGACGCACUGAAACCUUAUUGUUGUGUACACCAAUGAUUUCCCAUUGUAUGGAACAUGAAUGCCGAUUGGUUGUGCUGUGCUGCUGAAGCAGGUGCUAUUGGAGAACAUGAAGCAUCUGGAGUGUCAGCGAGGCUAGUUAAACCUAGCAGGUGGAGGCCAUUGAACGAGAGCGUGUAGCACUUGAAGAUGGAUCUUUUGUGUAACACAGAUUGAUGGCUUAUCUGCCUACCACAGAUACUGAACCUGUCAAAGAUAGCUGGACCAUCAUUUUCCCUCCUAACGUAAAUGAUGUGGUGCACAGGAGAUGACAUCUUGAUUAUGUGAAACUUUGAUGUUGAACUUGGUAUCCAUGUUGUACUUUUGAAAAUGUUUUAACAUGGUGCAAAUUUAACUUAAAUAGCAGACGGAGUAUGGUACAUACAGCCCCAGGUUGACAUGUUGUGAAAGCAUUUCUACUUCUUUUAUGAUGGAUGAUGAAAAUUUUGUUUGACUGAAAAACUCUUAUAGAAGAAAGCAUAUGUAUGCUGCUAUCAUUCUGCCUGCAUAAUCACCAAAUGGCAACGCAGCUCCAUCACACCAUUUUGCUGGCUGUAGUCAAAUACUCCCUCCGUUUUUUAUUUACUCCCCAUAUUGGCUUUGAUUGAAGUCAAAUUUUAUAAGGUUUGUAGAAAAAAAUAUGAAUAUUUACAAUAACAAAUUUGUAUGAUGUGAAAACAUAUGCAAUGAUGAAUUUGAUGGAAUUGAUUUGGUAGUUAAUAUACUAUUUUUCUACAAACUUGUUGAAAGUAUACAAAGUUUGACUUUAGACAAACCUAAUAUACAAAGUAAAUAAAAGCAGAGAGAGUAUUAUUCUGCCUUGAAGACACAAAAGGAGCUAUAAUAAAUACAUUAGUUUCAUUCACAACAAUGGAGCCGAAGUUACAACAUGACACACGUCUACAUAAUGUAUAUCAAUAGGGUUUGAAUCAACAGAACAACAAUAUACUGAACUGAUGAUAUGGACACACAAAGGGAACAACAAGCACACUAUUAAACCGGCACGCAGGCCGCGGAGUUAGUUUUGGGCAAGCACACUAUUACCGACAGGAAACACUGACAUGGUAGCAUUGUUCUCCUGGCCCGUGGCGUCCAUGCUAGUGUGUCGCGUGAACUCCUCAGGCGUCAUGUGUGUGCCAUGGCAAGCACACACGAUCUUCACUUCGUUUCUGUUUGAAGAAAAAGAAAAUCUCAUUCUACCUAUAUUCUUCAUCUGCACAAGAUAAUUUUUCAUUUUAUAGGAAAUGAGGUUUCAUUUUACUAAUUAUAGGGAAACAACUCAUGCGAUACGCCCCACCUCGUGCGCCUCUGAGCAUUUUCCAGCAUGCGAGGAAAUUGAACAUGGCCAAAAUGUUUAUUUCAAAUGGACAAUGUGGAUUGUGGAGUAAGAUUGUUUAUCGCGUGCUACUGACUGGAUAUCGAACAUGUCGAUGUUGAGUCGGGUUGUCCCCAGGACCCAGGUGAUUAACAACAUCAAGGAUGACUCUGGUGGUGGGCCGGCCCAUGUAGAUUUCACAUUAUUUCCCCUGGUUGAAUUAAAAAAACAAAAAAUCACAAAAGGCGAAGAAAUACGUGAAUUCAAAAAAGUUCGUGGAUUUUGAAAAAAGAUCAUGAAUUUGAAAAAAAGUUGACACGGAAACCAUCAUUGGGUGUCGUUUACACAGCCGCUGACACAGAGCUCACUCAAGGCAGGGCGCCGUCGACACGGAACCCGUUCAAGAAAGGACAUUGUCUAUUCCACGACGGAACUCGCCCAAGGCGAGAUAUCGUCUACACUAGCGCCGACACGAAGCUCACGCUAGGCAGGGCGUCGUCUACACCAUCGCUGACAUAGAACCUAUCCAAGGCGGGGUGACGUCUAGGUUGUCGCCGACAUGAUCCAUCGUUUGGGGUGUCAUUUACAUCCGCUCUCCUCUUCACUUCACCACCACAACACCAUCGGCUACACUAAGCAUACUGAGAAGAAGAGAUCCGAGUGUACCAGCUUAAUUGGAGAUGGUAUGCAACUUCAACCCAUGGGCGCGAAUAAUCAAGAGCCUUUCAAGUCCCAGUGAACCAGAACACACGGUUGCCCAACUCACAUCGACCAUGGCCAUGGAGCUUAUUAAUUUGUUAAGGGACCGUGCUUUAUUUCUCCAAAAUACAAGUUUCCCUAUAUUUUAUUUGGGCACUUAAGUACACUAAAACGCCUACAUUAUUUUAUUUUGUGUUCGUGUCAAACACCAGUAUUUGCAUUGUUCGAUUUCAUGUACUCCCUUUGUUCAUAAAUAUAAGGUGUUCUAACUUUUUCUAAACUGGAUAUAUCUAGAUACGUUUCAGUGUGUUGGUUCAUUCAUUUCAGUCUACGUGUAGUUCCUUGCUCAAAUAUCCAAAACAUGUUAUAUUUGUAAAUGAAGGGAGUAAGAAUUAGCCAUGACGAGGUUUCUCUUUUGGACCAAAAGACGGACCAUGAGUAUUGUCAGCCUGCAUGCACCUCCGUUCUGUAACACUGCCUCGUCGUCCACUUUGCGGUUAAGGGCAUUUCCAGCCGUUGGCCUCUCAGGAGGGGCAAAAAAUCGCCCCCGGGGACGCACUGGCGCUAAAUCGCGCACAUGCCUCCCAGUCGCGGCCCCCCACGGGUUUUUAAAAUGUUUAAAUUCGGCGCAAACACAACGCAAAUACGGGCGAGUUCGUUCAAAUUUAAACAUAUUUUACAAAAAAAAGAAAAAAACUACCGCGGGCUACCCCGCCGUCUCCCUCGCCGCCCGCCCACGCGGUUCUACAUGCCGAGGAGGCUGUAGAACCGCGUGUAGUCACCGCCGUCGUCGUCGUCGUCGCCCCGCCUACGCCGCCGCCCUCCCUGCUGCAUCCUUCCCCCAGUUGGCGCGGCGGGUUGGACGGUCCGGGGGCGUCGUCGUCGUCGCUAUCGAGGACGACGACACCGUCCUCGUCCUCGCGCCCACGUUUGCGGGCGGCGAUCUCCUCCAGGGCCCGGCGCUGCCGGAUCAUCUCCUCGCGCAGGUAGUCGUCGCGCGGCCACCGCAUGGCGUCCUCGUCGGAGAAGCUGCGCCGGGCUAUCUCUUCGUACUCCGGGGGGAGGCUGGACUCCACCUUGGGCUCGACGAGGGCGCCGGAGCUGCGGGUACGCGCGCUGACAGGCGUGUCCUGGGGCUCCGGCUUGACGGGGCGGAGGUGGAGGCAGGGAGAGCCGCCGGACGAGGAGGAGGACACCGGUCUCCAUGCGCUUCGGCGUUCAGGAGCUUCCCCGGCGGCGUGAGAAGGACGGGGGAGCGGGGUACUCGAGGCGCGGCGUGUUGCCGCCCUCGAUGUACUCGAGGACGGACUCCAACGUGCGCCCGGGCACGCCCCACCACCGACACCGCCGGCGGCGUUGAACCUGCCGGAGGGCACGACGCCGUUGGUGGCCUCGAGCUGCUCGUCGUGCCGGCGGCGGAAGUACGGCUCCUAGAUUGGGCUGUCGGGGACGUAUCGGGGCCCCUCCCUCACCGCACGCGGCAGGGACGAGCGGAUGCAUGCGAUCUCCGCACGCCGCGCCGCGCCGGUGGGUACCGGGGGCACUGGCACGCCGGCGGCGCUGAUCCUCCACGCCCCCGGGCACCCGCAUGUCCGGCGGGACCGGGUACUCGGCCUCGAAAAGGAGGCGAGCCUCGUCCUCGUGCAGAUGACGACGCCCGAAUCCGUUCGCCGCCGCGCCGUUGCCUGGGAAACGCUCGGCCAUGCUUUCUCAACUGGUGACAGCGAGAGGAGGAAAGGGGGAGAAAUGAGUGCGUCGUCGGUGGAUGAUCGGGGUGAGUCUCUCCGGCGCGCUUGCAGUCGGCUUUUAUAGGCGGAGACGCCGCGCGGUAGGCUUGGCCGGCGCGUUACGCGUUGCGUGAUUGCGUGGCGGCCGAGGGACGCGUCGCCCAGCCUUCACUGCGCCGCCCAUGAGGCAUCAAUGGAGGCUGACCGGCGCGGCAGCUUUGGCAUUGAUUCGCCGCGGGAAACGAGGCGAUGAGGACGACGAAGGGGCGAGAAGAGAGUAGAGUCGUUGACGCGGUGGGCCCGCGGCUCUUCGCGCCAAAAACGAUUCGCCCGGCGCCCCCGAGCGACCCCCAGCGCACCGGGUUCGGGUUGGGUCCGCCGGCGCCAAUUUCGGUCCGAGCCGGCGAAAACUGGGCUCUUGGGGGUGCGACUGGGCCAAUUUUUUGGCGCCGGCGGACGAAAAAACUCCUGGGGGGCCUGCAACAGGCUGCACUUGACGUCGGACCGCUUGCUCUCUCUCUCUUCUCUGUUGGGAGGCCAGGAGCUAUCUGCUCUGAGUCUCUAUUCUAGUCUCUAGAGUACUCCUACUCCUCCUCCUCCCCCUACUACUACUACUACUACUACUACUACUACUACUACUACUACUACUACUACUACUACUACUACUACUACUACUACUACUACUACUACUACUCCCUCCAGUCCUUUUUACUCUGCAUAUAAGAAUUGUCUCAAGUCAAACUUCGUCAAGUUUGACCAUAUUUAUAUGAAAAAAUAUUAACAUCUAUAAUGUUAAAUUUAUACAAUAUGAAAAGUAAAGUCAUGAUGCAUCUAAUGUUGUUGUUUUCACAUUCUAAAUAUUUAUAUUUUUUUAUAAACUUGGUCAAAGUUUACGAGGUUUGACUUCAGACAAAUUUUAUAUGCGAACUAAAAAGGACCGGAGGGAGUACUAUCUUUCCCUAAUAUAUAUUAUAUAUAUUAUUCAUUAAUUUAAUAAUAAAGCACGGAUUGACUCCGUGGAUUCAUCGUCACAAUACGCUUUUUCCUGUGAUUUUACGCUUUUAAUUUAAAUUUAAAACAUAUUCGAGGUGGUACUAAGUUUUGUGCGUCAAGGUGUUUUUACAAAAAGAUCCAUGUGGUUUUUAUUAUGAAUUAACCCGCAGUCAUUUUUUUCAUCCGUUCCACCCGUCACGGGAAAAUCCCCGCAUGUAUGAACCCACCUCGCUCACCGAGAGCGAGUUCUACCGAUUUAUAUAGGUUUCUAUGUAAUCUGCAACAUCAAGCAAAGCCGUACGGGAAUCAGCAAACAACAGCGAUCUAAGAUAAGAGAUAGAGAUUUGGGGAUCGGGGUACGUAUGGUUCGAUCGGUGUUGGCCUAUGCUUCCGGCCUUACUGGGCUGGUCAGGUGGGCCUAAGCUUCCGGCCUUGCUGGGCUGCGCGAGCUCCCUCUACUAGAAAAUAAAUAGAGAGGAAAUCUUACAAGGGAAAUAUUUUCUGGACUUAGAAAAAAAAUUAGUUUUUUUGGAAUUGGUUUGAGGAUUUUUUGAAAGAUGAAAAUUUGGACAAGUUUGAAUAAAAAUCAAACAUGUUUGAAUUUAGAAAACUCUUUAGAAAUGGGAUGGAUUUUUGGACAAGUUUGAGUAAAAUUAAAAAAAAGAUGAAUUUAGAAAACCCUUUAGAUGGAAUCCAAAUGGGCUGGAAGAUCAACAUAAAACCACAGAAUUUGCACACCAAAUAAUGCAUACAGUAUCUACGUUUAAUAAUCGUCGACCUUUUAUAAUUCUCGACUGACGGAAGAAAAAACGACGGAUGGACAAGAAACCAAAGAUACCCCUAUCGAAUAAAAAUGGACUAAAACACCAUUAAACAAGGAAGUCCCAUGAAAAGAGACCUGUCAGGUUGGAGGAGCAGAAUAAUUAGGCCUUAGCUCCAAACAGACUGGACAAUGAAGCACAUUUGUACUUCAUUUUCAUUAGAUACGAGAUUCUGUUAAAAAUAAGGGGACGCGUCUAAUAAAGGGUCGCGUGUAUUCAUAUAAAAAAGGGGUCGCGUGUAUUAAUACCACUUCACUGAUUUACAUAAAAUGAAUACCAAUUUAUAUAUGUCAGCAAGUACACAAUGGACAAGCCUUCUUGGAAGUUGAACAAAACAUAAGAGGUGCUGGUACCAUUUCUAAUCUAAGAAAGGAACAAAUAAGGACAUGUGUGGCAAGCAAUAAAAGAGAGGGCAUGCAAGGAAAGAAAUAAAAGAGAUUCCCAAAUAAAGAUCCGAUAAAUAUGGGGAUUUGCUGGGCUAUAUAAAAGAAAUAUAAGAAAGGACGCAUGGCAAGAAAUCCGAGGAGAUCCGAUAAGUAUAUAUGGGAUAUGUGCGCCAUAGGAGAAAUGAUGUUUCGUCAUGCAUUAAAAACAGCAAAUACUGUUUAUGUAUUAAAAAUACUCUCCAUGUAUUUUCUUUGAUAAAUAUGUACAUGAAAGUAUAUUCAAGAGUUGCCACAAAAAUAUUUGCAGACGCCAACAUAAAUUUUUCACACAGGUUAUAAAUAACAAGUCAAGUGACCCGUUAGCAGAGGGGUGGGAAUUAUAAGACAGACAAUGUUGACAAACAAAACUGGAUGAGCACAGAGGAGGUAUGACAAGUUCCAGAGCGAUAUUUCACGUCGGAGUGAAGCAGGACGAGUUCGGGACCACAACUUGAGGAUGAGCUUGAGGCCAUGGAUCGGAGCUCACGAUAGGAAUGUUGUUGAACAUGCCAUAAGUUGGUGAUGCUUGAACCGAAAACCGCCCAUGAUGCAUGCAUGUCUCCGUAUAGUGUGCUAAUGUAUCAUCGUAUGUUCUUGUCGUUUUCCUUUACCCACAAUAACACAUUAUUCUGCGCAUGUCAUGAAUAAAUGAAUUAUCGCCAGCCUGUUAUGUGCUUUUUAAAGCUACAUGCAAGGCGUGUUGAAAUAGAAGAGCUGGACUUGUGGAACAGAUUCCUAAAAUUCUAUACCACCUUUUUUAAUUAGAAGAGAAUGUGAUAUAUUUUUCUCCCGUUGCAACGCACGGGCCCUUUUGCUAGUUAAUAAUAAAUAAUAAUAAUAAUUUGAUUGAUUAAUUCCGUUUCUCUAUCCUUUUUCGCUGGGCCAGUUUGUUUUUGUUGGCCUUAUAAUAAAUAAAGAUGGGAGAUAGAUUGUGAGUCAUAAUAACAAAACCAUCCGCCGAUCGCCCGCCUUAUCCGUGCUUUGGACUUUUUACUUUUGCUCGUCUUUGCCUUUUUGUGCCCUGCAUCUCUCUACAUAGACAUGAUCCCAACCGCGGGAGCUUUUGCUUUUGUUCCUCUCUUUUCUGCUCGGAGCCUUGGUGAUCACGGCCUAUUUAGUUGGUUGUGGUUUCUCUCUCUCUCUCUCUCUCUCCUGAAACAAAUUAAACAUGCUCGAGGUGAGACGAUGCAUUUUCUUUAUCUUUUUUGUACAUAUAUCAACAGUACCAUACACAAAACACAUGCAUGCAUGUGUGGCAAUUCCUUGAAGUUGAAAUAGUGCUACUAAGCAAAAUGAGGAUACUAAUCGAGACCACAAGUAAGCAGGCUUUCCCGCGGAAAAUAAUACGUAACAAUAUAACAGCAUCUAUCUAGUUCCCCUAAGUGCUCUACUUCUCGAUUACUCUAGUUCCCUACUGAGUCCCCGAGGUCUGCUUCUCAAACUCCUCGACGUAUCUCGCAAAGUUGAGGAUGAUUCUCUUGCCUUCAGGGGUGAUGAUACUCUCUGGGUGAAACUGGACCCCCUGAAAGAGUUACAUCAUAUCUAUCAGUUAGUACCAUGACAGCCACGGCGUGAAGCAUGGAGUCAAGAAAUACCUGGAUAUGCUUGUACUUCUUGUGGCGGGCGGCCAUGAUAAGUCCAUCUUCAGUCCAUGCCGUGAUUUCCAGUUCGUCGUGUGGGAAGCUUUCCUUCUCAAUGACCAAGCUAUGAUAUCUUGCAGCGGUAAAAGGGCUGUCCAUGCAAGUGAUCGAGGAUCAUGUCAAAUCAAAAGGCUCACUUUGGACAAGUGCCAGACUGAACAAGGAAACAAACACAACUUAUUCCCUAAUAAAAAAGAAGCUACCCAAGACUAAAAUUCUAUCAUCAAUACUAACUGAAUAUGUUGAAAUUUUGACUUGCAUGGCACAUGCUACAGAAUUUCUCAAGACAAAAACAAGUGCUCUAAACAGGUAAACAGAGCCCAACAGCAUUCGUAAAUCCUAACUAUCAUAAAAAAAAACAGAAGCAAUCAUGAGAUGUGUGUAAUUUAAUGUUUGCAAUACCGGUGUCGGACUGUCAGUUGACUGUUAUGUAAUGUAAGCUAGAACCGAAAUAUCCAUGGGAUUUACUGAAGUGUUGAGAAAUCAUACUUUGACAAGCCCUCAAAUAUGGCCUUUCCUAGAACUUCGUCAUAGUGAACUGGGGAGCUUUUUCCAUGCAUCACACCAGAAGGAACGCGAAUAAUCUUCCCUGUAAGAAAAAAACAUCAGCAAGACAGAAGAACAGGUCAUAAAAAACCUUGUUUCCAUAGAUAUAAAUCUAACCUCCAAAGCCUCUCCAAUGCAUUGCAGACCCAUGCAAACUCCGAAUAUUGGGAUGGUUGGCCCGAGUUCCAGAACAGUCUGCAAUGAUAUACCUGAAUCUUGUGGUACGCCUAAAGAAAUAUGAAUGCAAUUGUUAAGUUCAGAAACUUAAAGCAGUUAUGAGAUUCAAGAAGAGAAACUUACUAGGCCCUGGAGAAAUAAGUAUUCCUCGUGGCUUCAUCCUAGAAGAGAUUUUUAAAAAGGAACAUCAGCAGCAAAGUUGUAAUAUAUAUAACCCCAUUAGAUGGAUCAGACAGAAAAUAAAUCGUACUUGAACAUGUGCCCAGAGAACUAUACCUCUUUACGUCCUCUAUGGUAAGUUCAUCAUUACGGUACACCUCAAAAUGUACUCCAAGCUCCCCCAUAUACUGUAUCAAACACUCAAUUUCAGCAGGACUUGUAUUCUCAUAGCAUGUGUUCAUGCCAUAUUAAUGUACACAAAUAAACUUAACCAUCUCAUAAGCAUGUGCUUCUGAAGAUUUUUUUCCCAUGGCCCAUAUUAUUCUAAUAUCUAAACAAAUUGUUCCUUUAUAUGCCCCUCAUCAAAAACAAUUGUUCCUUUAUAUGUUGUAUCGCUCCUUAGUCCUUGCUACAUAUUUUCUUCAGCAAUUGUAAGAGACAACAUGCUCAAGACAUGCAAACACAAUUUUUUUACUAUAGCAAACACAUUAUUUCCAGGAAUGUUUUUUCACAACAAAAACUAAAUACAUAUCACUACCACUCAUGACUGUAUGCCUAUCAUGCUAACUUGGGUGACCUAAUCAAGAUAUACACAGAUAAUAUUUCCCAAUAAUAUACUUUUGUGGUCCCUGUUACAUAUUAAAAUAACCUUUAACAAGUCAAUUUUGUCUAAUUUAGCGAACCAGUUUAAAUGAUACUCCCUCUGUAAAGAAAUAUAAGAGUGUUUAGAUCACUAAAGUAGUGAUCUAAACGCUCUUAUAUUUGUUUACGGAGGGAGUACAUGCUAUACCGUUGUGUAAGUUUGUUCUGGUAGAAGAUUUUCUGUACCAUUCUAAAUGACAAAUACUUGAAAAAGAAGUCACCACUUGAAGAUAUUCCACUGAAUGCAUUCUUGAUUCUAAUUUGGACAUUCCAGACAAGGAGUGGUACACCGAAGGGGCACAUUGAGAAAUGGAAAAAUCUUUUAAUAGUUCCAAGGAACCAACUUUGUACUUGUAACUAAAUUUCCCUUGCGGCAUUGGUUACCAAUCAGUUAUCAUCUGUUUUCAACAAUUUGUAGGACAAGUACGUAGACAUUAACAGAAUGUGUAGUACAUUCAUGCUACUUUUCAAAUGUAGAAAUACAUUUAUGUAAGAUCUUCAAACAAUCACCUAUAAAAUCAUUUGAUCUUAGUGCAAAGAAUACAGGCGAAACAAAAGUAAAUUAUAACAGAAUCCAUGACUUUAACCACUACUUGUGAAACCAUAUACAUAUACCUGGCACAGGUUGUAGGUAAAGCUAUUGUAGUUGUCGAUAACGAUGAUGGGCUUCUUCACCGGUGCCGGUGCGGUCGACCCGGCGGCAGCGACCACCGGCUUCAUGGCCCUCCUACCAUUGAGGGCCAACAAGCCUUUCUCAGGACCUGCGGGGGGGUGAGGGAGGGGAUCCAAUACGGUAGACCCGCGUCAAAAUGGAGGCAAAAAACAUGGAGCGAUUCGUACGACGAGUCGCGGGAAGGCGCGCGAAACCGGUGGCGGGGGAUGUCGCCCCAGAGCACAACGCAGUGCCGGUGGUUGCCGGUGAAGAGGCCACGGCGAGGUGGGAGCAGGCCAUACCGGCGAGGAGGGGGAGGUGGGUUUUGUUUGUGGCAAGGAAGGGGUCAAGAACGGGGGAGAAUAGUGUGAGCUGCGUGCUUGGAUUCACUGGUUGGGGUCGUCGCGUCGCAGGACGACGGACGCCUCGAGACAGGGAAUGGGAGGAGCACGGCGCAGGAACUUCGGGGUAGGACGGAGGUGCGACAGACGGGCAGGUAGGGAGCGGUGCCGGCUAGCCUGGCGGCGAGCCGGCGAGCGGUAGUAGCGGGCGGCGCUGCGGCUAAGGUCGGAAGGAGAUGGGCUGGGUUGUGUUACUCUGGCUAGGCCGAAAGCAAAGGAAAUGGGCUGCUAGGCAGAGCUGUUGGGUUUUGGUUGUUCGGGCUCGGGCUUGCCCUUGCGUAAGGCCAUUGGACCGGGCUCUAGUCCAGUUGGGCUGUGGGGUUAUCCUGGAAUACACAAACAAGCAGAAAAUUUCAGAUGUUGACGGAGAUGAACGAGAUGUUGACAGCGCCGUAUGAACGGGAAGAGGUGAAAAAAGCUUUGUUUCAGAUGUUCCUUACAAAAUCACCGGGGCCGGACGGCUUCCCGGCGCACUUCUUCCAGAGACACUGGGAUGUUUGUGGCGUUUCUGUCACUGACGCUAUUCUUGGUAUUCUUCGGGGAGAGGAAAGUGCGGAAUGCAUUAAUGACACACUCCUGGUCCUAAUCCCGAAGGUAUCCAACCCAACACUUUUAUCUCAAUUUCGUCCCAUUAGUCUUUGUAAUGUAUUUUACAAAAUAGCAUCAAAGGUGUUGGCUAAUCGCUUGAAAGAGAUUUUGCCUGAAAUAGUUUCUGAGGAACAGUCGGCCUUUGUCCCGGGGAGGAUGAUCACGGACAAUAUUAUCUCGGCUUAUGAGUGCUUACAUUUUAUAAAGAGAAGUAGGGCGAAAAACAACAGCUACUGUGCACUCAAGUUGGACAUGAUGAAGGCAUACGACAUGGUUGAAUGGAGCUAUUUGAGGGCAAUGAUGGAGAAACUUGGCUUUGCUGCACCUUGGAUUUCUGUUGUUAUGAAUCUGGUGAGCUCUGUUUCUUUUUCUGUUAUGUUCAACGGAACUAAAUUAGAAGAGUUUAAGCCAUCUCGUGGAAUUCGGCAGGGAGAUCCUAUCUCUCCAUACCUUUUCUUGUUAGCAGCGGAGGGCCUUUCGUGCCUAUUGAAAUCUCAAAAUCAGUCAUCACAGCUCAGUGGAAUCAAGGUGGCCCCAUCGGCUCCGUCGGUGAACCAUCUUUUAUUCGCGGAUGACAGCCUGCUAUUUUUCAGGGCAAGUGUUAAUGGAGCGGAGGAGGUAUCAAACCUACUGGAAACAUAUUGUUUGGCAGCAGGACAGAGGGUGAAUAGAGAAAAAUCUUCUAUAUUUUUCAGUAAAGGCUGUCCACAGAUUGUUCGUGAUGCGGUGAAGGGGCAUUUGCAAGUACCAAAUGAAUCUUUAACUGACAAAUAUUUGGGUAUGCCCACUGAUGUAGGUCAUUCAAAAAAGGAUACUUUCAAAUAUAUAAGUGAUCGCAUCUGGGAUAAAGUCAAAGGAUGGAUGGGUAAGAUAUUAUUGGCAGGUGGCAAAGGUGUUUUGAUUAAAUCAGUUGCACAGGCGAUCCCGGUAUAUUCUAUGUCAUGUUUUAGGUUGCCACAGGGACUAUGCAAACAUAUUAACAGCAUUAUCAAGAAAUUUUGGUGGGGAUGUAAGCAAGGAAAAAUAAAACCUACAUGGGUUUCUUGGGAAGUGAUGACGAGACCCAAGUAUUUGGGAGGGCUAGGUUUCCGAGAUUUGGAACUUUUUAACCUUGCAUUAUUAUCACGACGGGCGUGGAGGUUGUUGCAGGAGCCUACAUCAUUGAGUGCUAGGAUUCUCAAGGCGAGCUACUAUCCAGAAGGGUCUAUUUUGCCGGCAGAACUUGGUUCCCGCCCCUCUCAAAUUUGGCGGGCAAUUCUUGACGGCAGAGAAAUCUUGAAACAAGGUAUCAUCAAGAGGAUUGGCAAUGGGCAAUCAACGGAUAUUUGGACAGAUAAUUGGCUACCAAAAGAAUCAUCACUAAGACCAAUUUUAUGUCAUGUGGCUGAUCCUCCAUCUAAAGUUCAGAGUUGUUAAUUCUAGCUACAGCACAAUGGAAUGUGAACUACAUCCGUAGUGUAUUUCUGCCUGUCGAUGUGGACACUAUUUUGAAAAUUCCGUUGUGCACACGGAAUAUGGAGGAUUUUUGGGCGUGGCACCCAGAUAGGAAGGGUGUUUUCUCUGUUAGCUCUACAUACAAAUUCAUUAUCAAAACCAAAAUGCAGCGGGAAGACUGGCUUGAAGGGAGAAGUGGUGCGUCGAAUAACUCAAGACAGGAGGAAGAUUGGACUACGCUUUGGAGGUUCUCGGUUCCAUCUAAAGUGAAAAUAUUCCUGUGGAGACUGGCACGCCACUCACUGCCGACAACAGAUGUGCUAAAGAAACGGAACAUGUCUACGGUUGAUGCAUGCCCUUUGUGUGGGAGGGAAGACUCUUGGAGACACGCACUAAUCAGUUGCACCAUGGCGCGUUGUAUUUGGGCCUUGUCAGAUUCAGAGGUGGUGCAGCGUAUGGGAGAUAAUCAGGAGCCGGGUGCCAAGAACUUUCUCUUCGACAUGCAGGAGUCGUUGAGCCAUGACCAGUUUACAACUAUGGUUGUUACCCUAUGGUCUAUCUGGUACACAAGACGAAAAACAGUCUAUGAAGCUAUUUUUCAGAGCCCAAGUCAAACAAAUUCAUUCAUUAACUCAUAUUUGAUGGAUUUGCGAGGACUGCAUAAACCAGCAACAAGCAGGGUUCCUGGUGCGAGCUCGGGUCCUAGGGUGGCAGAAGUCCAGAGGUGGCUGCCUCCGAUGGGGGACAAAGCAAAGAUCAAUGUCGACGGAGCUGUAGGUCGGCAUGGCCAUUGUGGAGUGGCAACAGCAGUAUGCAGGGAUAGCACCGGGCUUUACCUGGGCUCUUCUCUUGUUGUGUAUGCAGGUAUUAUUGACCCAACUCUUCUCAAAGUAUUUGCGUGUAGAGAAGCUCUUGCACUUGCAGAGGGCCUGGGAAUUCAGAUGAUGCACGUUGCUUCAGAUUGUGAGGAAGUGGUGAAGGACAUUAAGCAAGGGUCGGGAGGAUAUCAUGGUGCCAUCAUCCAGGAAAUAAUUGCUAGGAAAAAUGAUAUGAUUUCAUGUACUUUCACUCAUGAACGUAGAGUUUUUAAUUUCGAAGCGCAUAAUCUCGUCAAGUUUGGUUGUAAUUUAGGUGUAGGUCGUCAUGUUUGGUUGGGGUCUCCUCAUGACCAAAACAUUGUACCUUUAAUUAUUGAACAGUAAAGAAGGCGAGAUUUUUUUAAAAAAAAGCAGAAAAUUUCAGUGUGUCUGCAGUUCUUAUUUUUGAGCGUCAGUGUGUAUUCUGCAGUUAAACACUGGAUCGCUCGGUGGUUCAAUUCGGAUCCAACCACCACCGCCAUCCCAUUUGGCACGACCUGCGUCGGCUGCUGCCUGCAUGCAUGCGCCACGCGUGGAGGUGGAGCCGGCCAAUUUACCUACCCGCCAGUAGUUCUCGAUGCACAAACGGAUGCUGAUUCAGAUCUUUCUUCUUCCCAAUAAGUGGCCAUUAUUGGCUCCCGGAUGUUACUUUUGCGUUUGCAAACACCGGCGCGGUCGGCCGGACGCACGGCAUGUGGUGUCCUCCUCCUCCAUCGAUCGUACGUGCCCUACCACCAGCAUCAUCACCCGCAAGUUGAAUGAACUGAAACCACUUGACAAACGAAGGUUUCUCUAAAGGCGGGAGUCCAUUGAUGGGUUUGAUUGGCCCGUCCGCCCGCUUGGGUGUCGCGCCGUGGCAACCUUUCGUGCAUCACAGGGGAUGGUGCACCGGGUCGGCGUCGGCGGCGGCCGUCGUGUUAGAAUCCUGCUCCUUCCUUUGCUUUAUAGCAUCUUCAAUCAUACCCCCAAGAAGCCUCCCAAACCACUUUUUAAAAGCCGGCGGGCAAAAAACUCCCCACUCAAGCUCCUAAGUGCUUGUUUUUUAUCGGAUUUGAACAAAAAUAGCCCUGGUGACCUUAGCUAACACCCAGCCCACUAGGGCACUUGUAGCCGCUGGCACUACUUUUUGCAUGCCUAAAACCNNNNNNNNNNNNNNNNNNNNNNNNNNNNNNNNNNNNNNNNNNNNNNNNNNNNNNNNNNNNNNNNNNNNNNNNNNNNNNNNNNNNNNNNNNNNNNNNNNNNNNNNNNNNNNNNNNNNNNNNNNNNNNNNNNNNNNNNNNNNNNNNNNNNNNNNNNNNNNNNNNNNNNNNNNNNNNNNNNNNNNNNNNNNNNNNNNNNNNNNNNNNNNNNNNNNNNNNNUUUUUCUGUUAGGCCCACCCACAUGCGAAAAAGAAUCUGCUGCUACUUUUCCUCGCCUCUCUCCCUGCUCGCCACCCCGGCCGCGCUCGCCGCCCGCCUCCUGGCCGCUUUGCCUCCUCGCGCCGCUCUUGCCGUGCUCGCUGCUCGCCUCCUCGCGCCGCCCUGCCUCCUCGCCGCCCCGGCCGCGCUCGCUUCCUCCUCCGCUUCCUCUUCCCUCCAGCGCCCCCAUGGGCGCCGACGCGGCCCUAGUUCGGCUCGGUUCGCGCCCCGCGCGGCCAGCACGGCCCGGUGCUAAUCACCUCGACUUCUUGCAGCGCGCGGCGGCCGCGGCGCUUGACGCGUUCAAGGAAGGGAGCAGCGGCCGACCCGACGCCCGUGCGUGCCAACGGCGCCAAUCCUUGCUUCGAGCCCACGGCGCCACCUCUUCGACGGCGACGGCAUGGUGCACGCCAUCCGUAUCCGCAACGGCGCCGCCGAGUCCUACGCAUGCCGCUUCACUGAGACCGCGGGGCACCUGCGGCCUCGUCGUCCCGUCACACGACACCGGCUCCCGUGGACUAGGUGGUCGUGCAGGCCGCCUCCUACCGCAGCCUCGACGAGCGGCCGGGAGGCCGCGGCCUAGACGCUUAGGGGUGGACAUGGCUGGGAAAAUUUUCAUCCUCAGGCCAAAAUUUUUGCUAACAAUUCUUCAAGCGGCGAAAAAAAUUGCUUUUUGAAAGACUCAACGGCUGGAGAUGCUCUUAGUCAUUCUGCACCUCGCCGCCUUGCAAUUCCCCGACAACAAAAUCGUGGCUCACAGCCAAAGUUCGCCGGCAUAAUGUGUUCCCUAGCCAGCAGCGCUAGAUCUGGCUUUCGUUUCGCACAGGGAAUUUAGCCCAUCUAUCUGGCUUUGAACGCAGCUUUUCUACUUACGCAGCAGUGGCCGAGCUCCUAGAAGGCAGACUGCUCUCACGCAGGUUCCCAUCUCAUGGCACGAUUAGACGUCGACCUUGUCAUGGGACGAUGUGUAGUUCAUCUAUCGAAUACCGUCUCAAAUAUGUAUCACGUGACCAAGACUGGAUUAGACGAUACGUAAUUAUAUUAUGUAAAAAAGUCAUCUCCAACACAGACCCUCACUUACCUGUUGGGUAAUCAUUCAAUAAAGUCUUCAAUGAGCCCCUCUAAAGUUCGAGGCGAAUGAACACAUUUUUAUUCGUCGUCUCCGGGCUAUAUAUACUCGCGGAACUCUGGUCAUUGAAUCAAAUUAACCUUAAUAAAUAACUAAUAAUUUCUCUUCUUUUGACUACCCCUUUUCUCAUUAAUAACAAAACUAAUUAUUUUGAUAUAUAAAAUAUUAAUUCAAAUGGCUUUUGCUAUAGUUAUCUUCUCAUCCAUGAUUUUUUAUUCCACUUCGCUCAGUUAUUUCUAUACGAAAUAACAAGUUCAUUCUAAUAACACUUAAAAAACCGAGCUAUACGGACGCACUUUGUCAUCCAACGCGAAUCCAUAUUUGUCUGCAAACGCGUCCAUGGGUUCAUUUUCCCAUAAAUCAGACAAAAAUUAGGGGCACUAUGCGGGAGCCCGGACCUCUGCCAUGUACGCGUCCGGCAAGUGGUCUCGCUCAAAACCACUCCCGCACAUGUUUCUCUCUCCCGCGUGCGACUGCUCAGUCGUCCUUUUGGAAAGAGGCACCACACUAGAGAUGCCGCAGGAGGAGCAUGGGCACAACCUGCGGCUCUUCGAGUAGCUGUAGUUCACGGACGGGCAAAUCAUCAGCGAACAAGAGAACGAUGAUGUCAUCACGACUAUGGUCAUGGAGAAUCCGGCCUUCUUGGGUGAGCAACGGGACUGUAACAGUCCAUGGCCGUGCUUGUGACAUCCGCCGCGAGCGAUGGCGGCUGCACAAUGACGCCCUGUUCAGGAAUAUUGAGACGGAGGUGGACACAGAGGCAACGCAGGUGAUCACGGACGGGGACGCUACUGCCUACGCCGGCAACUCCGUGUCGCUUGCGUCGCCCACCCCAUUCUUGCAGGGCGGCAAUGACCAUGUGGCUGGCCCGGCCACGUCCAUCGUGGCCAUUAGAGCAACUGCAACAUGCCGACCCAUUUCGUCCGUCCAUGUUUAUUUGGGUCGACGGCGACAAAAAUGCUGGGCCAAUGCGCCGACCCAUUUCCAAAACGCAUCCGCGCGGAACCAUUUCAGACCUAAUUUUGGGCCUGAAAUGCGUCAGCACGAACACGAAGCGGACGCGCGGCGCGUCCCCUCGGUGUCCGCCGUGGCCCUACUUGUCGGCCGGCAACCACCACCCGUGUCUUAUUAAAUGUCAUCACCUACCUCGGGGCCCGCCUGGCAGUGGGUGGAAGGUCCGCCCGUCCUUUUUAAUGGAAGCGUGCGGCUGGGCCGACCUCAUCCACUUUCAACACCCACCCACAUCCGGUCACGCGGUGCUCCCUCACCGGCGACCAGAAACCCUAGCAAGCCCAAACCCUAGCCACUAUGGGGUUUUUUAAUGGGAAGGGGAAGGGGAAGCUCAGCGCCAGCGCGAGCUCUUCCCGCCGGCUUCCUCCGUGGUCGUCGCCUAUUAGAUGUGGCUCGCCACCGGAGCGGGACUGUCUAUACAUACCAGUCCAUCGCAUGGUGGCACUCGCAGUACCACAGGCCACUAUAGUAUCCGGAUGUCAGCCUGCCGCACGGUUGGCAUCUGGAUGCGCAUCGGAUCCCCACUCUGGCAGUGCGGUGCACAACGCGGGUGCACGCCGAGGAGGUUGGCGUCACGAGGCCCUCACUCUGGAGCAGCAGGCGAUGCGUGCCGAUGCGCCAGACUCCCCCAACUGGGAGCGCUUGUUCGUGCUAGAGCACGAGGAGGAGCGCCGCCGGGGCGUCCACAUUGACCACGACGUUCCUUCGCCGUCGCGCGGGGUUCUGUCGGAGGAGGAGGAUGAAAAGGCGGCGUACCAAGCCGCCCUCGAGCUAGCCCUGCAGCACGCGCCGGAGGCGAGCAGGAUCGAGGAGGAGGCCCAAUGGGAAGGGCUGGAGCACACCCUCGCCUUGUUGGUUGCGGGGGACUCCACCCAUGCCCCACUCUUAGUCCCGCCUUCGCCACCGCCACUGUUGCAGCUGCCCAACGUCGAGCCUAAGGCCGAGGCGGAUCCCACGCCGACUCGGAAGCGCUCGCUGCCCCCCGCCCACUUGGCCGGAGGAGUCCUUCACGUGGCCCGUCGAGCUCCGCGAGUGGGUGAGCACGCCUCCAGUCCACUCGACAUCAGAGGAGGAGGCGGCCCACCUUGAGUGCUGGAAGGCACUUUGGCUCGCCGAGGAGGAGGUCGAUGGCCAGCGGCAGAGGCACUGGGAGCAGAAGGAGGAGGCCUUGCGCCUUGAGGAGGAGGAGGAGGAGCACACCCGGCGAGCCGCAAUGUCACCGCCGCAGCAGACACCGGAGGAGGCUGCCAUGGCAGCCUACCAAGCCAGUGGCGGAGCCAAGGGGGUGCGAGCAGGGGCCUGCCCCCCCCUAACAAUCAACGACUUCUAUUAUACCUAGGUGUAUUUAGCGAUAAAACUUGAUUAAUGAAUGUACUUGGCCCCCCUUAAUAACUCAAACAUGUAGUAAAAUCUGGAGAAGGGUAAAAGCCCAUAAUAAAGCCCAAUAUGGUCACGACGUCCGCUCCUCUCCUAGUACUAGUUGCUCCUGGCGAUCCCUAAAAAAACAAAACUAAUAGCCCAUGGCGUUAUUUACCCUAAAAAAAUGAUUAGGACCUGAAGUGAUUUGAGGCGAAGCGCUGGCGGCUGCGGCUGCCUCCUGCCCUCCCUGGCCAUGAUCAGAUUUUUUUUUUCGAAACGGAGGCAAAAGAUUUGCCUCAUCGAUUAAUUAAGCAGAAGAGAAUUGCCGAGUUAAUUAAUGGAAAACCAGGCGAAAACCGAUACAGGCCAACCACACGUAGACUACUCUCAGGGCUUCGAACCUGACAACCAAACCCAACACCUAAUGACCACCAAUACAUCGCAAAGACACCCUAACAAGAGUAACUCGGCCGAAGACCACGGGCACACCCAAAUCAACGAAGACAAGUCAAGCCAUAAGGACAACCCAAUAGACUGAUAACCAUCCAUCAAGUAGUUGCGGACGCCUUUUCUAUGACGCCACUCUUCUUUCCUUUGCUCGUGAGAGCCUCCUCCACAAUCGCCUUGCCAGAUCCAGGGCUCAUCCUCUCCAAACGUUUGAGCAAGCUGUGAAGCUCUAUCUAAAAGAGAAUCUCAUUGACCUUGUCACGCAUAGAAACCUGCCCAACAAUCACGUGCGAGUGGGUGCCCGCAACAUCGGAGCCUCCACGCUCCACACGGGCGAGCUGUUGGUUGGGCUCAGAAGGAUCGGGCGCCAAUGUACCAACCGCCUCAACAUCAUCAGUCACAGGUAUCACUGACACGAUGGACUCAGGCGUCUCCACUUGCUCAGAGUUAGGUGCCAACACACAUGUCUCAUCAACCUCUCCACUCAAAGACGCCACAUGCCCAAUGGCCAUAGAUGAGGCAGUGAUAGAACCAACCAAGUCUCCAUUGUUCACAAAGGCGGGCGACUGAGGUAGCGAGGGUGUCAUGGCCACCACCAAGGACUCCAAUGAGCCCAGCUCCAUCGGUAACACCAUAGAUGAUUCCCCACAAAGCUCCUGCAACUCAGGCAUAAUCUGCAUAACUGGAGCCACAACCUCGGAGGUGACCCCACUCACCGGGGAAGUCGGCGUCACAUGUAGAGCACGAGGAGAAAAAUCUCCGAAGAGGCAUUCAGCCUCCUCAAUGGAACCAAUCGGGAGCUCAGGCAACAAAGGCACAACCGACACAACCUCAAGUUUGGCAAGUGUGUCGUGAAGCUCAGUGCAAAACAACUCAAUCUUUUGAAGGAGCUCCGUACGAAGCAAGGCAAGCUGGAAUUCAAAAGUAGAGUCCAAAAAGACACUGACAUUGGAAUCCUUACAACAUCCAGAUUGGGACCUUGGCGGCACCGACACACGCAACGACGAACGGCCCACGACCUCUGCCCAACUCCUAGUCAGCGAAGUACAAGCCUGGACGGACGGGGAGCGGCUCGGCUGGCAUGGAGCGCGAGUGACCGAAGAGCCAACGCGAGCGACUGGAGAGCAAUCUCGAGCAACCGGAGAGCGAUCUGGAGCAACCGGAGAGCGAGCACAACAGAAUCUCUCCCUAUGACCAGGGCGACGACAACGAUGAACAAUCUUGGUUAGCAUCACUACUCCCGCCAGAUCAGAUUACCAUGAUCAGAUUUGAGUCCGAUUAAAUCAACCUGGCUCCGCGAUGAACAAUCUUGCAGACUACUCCCGCCAGUUCUCCAGCGGCCCAGUCAACUAUCAAGGUUAGCAUCACUAAUACCGUCUGCUAAUCUUUCUCGACCCUCAUCUACGCGCGUCGAAAUUCUAUAUCCAGUUUUACUUAUUUUAAUGGUGAUUUACAAUGGUAGUUCAUUUAAAAUUUCUUUUGAUAGUUUGAUCUGCUAAGUGGUUACGAAAGGUAUUCGCAAAACUGAAAAAGGGUUAUGGAAAGAAAAGCACCGUCAAACAUCACAAUGAUUAAUCUAAGUUUUAAGCAUGUUGUAUUGAGUUCCCAACCUAAUGAUAUUGUUAACGGGGCUAAUGUGCAAGUUGCCACCCCGAUUCAAAUCGCGGAUGACUUGUUCAGAAUUGCAAGACAAUCUAAAUUGAAAAGGGAAAUAUUUAGAAAUGAGGUUAUCUUCUGAUGAUUUUUUAAUAAUUUUUAUUUUAUUGGCAAGUGCAGGAGAAAUUUAGACUAAUAUGAUAUUACGGUACAUGUUUUUUCCGCACAUAACUUUUUUAGUUUAUCAACUUUGCUUGGCCUCCCUGUACCCAAAUCCUGGCUCCGCCCUUGUACCAAGCGGCGUUCAGGUGGGCUGGGCCGCCUCCCAUCUUCAUCGACCUCACCAGCGGCAAUGGCGACGACAAGGGCAAGGCGGAUGUCUAGGGCAGCGUGCGGGCGCGGAUUUUUUAUGUUCUAAUUAAUGUUUAAUUAUGUUCUAAGUGGACUUUGGCCGGUGGUUGACCGGCCACUUAUGUUUAAUUAAGUUUCUAUUAUGUUUAUGUGUGCCAUGUAUUUAUUGUUUUUGUUUUUUUUGGACGCGGGAAAAUUUGGGUGUGCCUCCCGUUGGACGCAUCUGCCAACCCAAAUGAAAAAGCGAACACGCCCAUCCGCCUGGCUGACCCAAACGGGCAAAAGCGCGCGUCCGUUUGAGUCGGUGCGUUGGAAUUUCUCUUACCUCGACAUGCAACAUCCAUGGCCAAGUGGCGGACUCCGACAAGGAAGAGCAGGAUGUGGGAGACAGACGUGAGCACGUGGAAUAUAGACGUCUCCAUGCCAGCGAAGAUUUGGACUAAUGACUUCAGCUAUGCAAAAAAAUGUCAUGUCCACUUUGUUUAAUGAAAUAUGUCGAUUUCUCAUUUUGGUCCAGUGUAAAUGUAAACUGUCCAGUUUGCAUUAAAUUUGUCAUGUUUAUUCAAGUCACCUUUGAAAUGCGGCUCAGAUGUUUAGGGCACCGCGUUGGAUAGCCGGCUCAUGUGUCUGUGUUCGCCGACAUGUCCAGACGCAUCCGUGUACGAAUACUAACUCUAAUUUGAGGAUGGUAUUGGACAUGCCCUCAGAGCAUCUACAAACCGGAGCUCCAUAUCCUCCCUAAAUGUUUGGGCGGCAUUCACGAUCAUUACCUGAACAACAAAUUGCCAUCCAAGUGAACUGCGCAUGGCCAACCCAAAUGUCUGGGCUUACUGGCACCCACAUACCCAGCCAAUAUAUGGGGCAGAUAUGGGGCAGAUCGGACGCACCCAGACGCCACCACCGCGCGGGACCGGUUCAAGCUGGCCCACGCUAUCCCCACCUUGUGCCCACAAAUACCCCACCUAGAUGACAAACCUUAGUCAAAUCCUAACCCCUAUUGAUCACACUGCUCCACUGCCCAUCUCCUCCCCUUCCUCUUCCCUCCUCUCCACCAUGGCCGACAUUGGAUCCGACAGUGAAUUCGACUCCAUCAGCUUGGCUGAGCUCGUCCAGGAGGACUCCGGCUCAUCCACGUUGGACGACGAGGAGCUCACGCUCCACAUUGCCCUCCUCCGCUCAUUGACGGAUACAUAAUUGAACAUCAUUUGAAAACCACAAUUUAUGAAAUUUGGUUUGAAAUCCAAAUCUAAAUUGAACAUAACAAGUGAUCCAAGCCAUUCAAAAUAAACAUAACAAAUCGCCAUAUCAAGUUCGUAUCCUCAUCGGUGAUGAGUAACUCAACAAGAGAGUUCAUCCUGCAAAAUAUGCACAUAAAAUUUCAACGGCAAUUAUUCAGACAUCACAAAAUUUGGUGAGGAAAUUCCUCGAACACCUUGUGGACGUCCGAAGGCGAUGCGAACAAGAGGAAGCGGUGGCUAGUCGAGUCAGGUCAGGGCGAGCUCUUUGAAAAAACCCGGUUCAAAUAGUGUUGUUUUUUGAAGUUAUUUUCGCAACCAAUUUUUGUUUUUCUGUCACGGCCUCCUCAAAUGUACAAACACCACAAAUUUUUGCAGCCACAUCACACAUUCGAGCAUCUUAGAUAGCAAAAAAGAAAGUUGAAUUAAUUUUCAAUUUUAUUUAAUUUUACUGUUCAUGGCACAAAUCACCACACUCGGUUGGGUUGACUAUAUGGAGUCCCAUUUUUUUCUACAAGCUGUUGGAACAGUUUUUUUAAGCCCAAUUUCAGUUAUACCGGUUUUUCUAUAGGGGAAAUGAGACUUUGUUUAGGAUGCUCUUGUAAGUGGUUAAAGUGUUGUAGAGACACCGUAGUGGUUGCGACUACCUAUGCUUAUGUUCCUAAUCACCUCCGCAGCAUCCGACGCGAUAGUUUAGACAACAUUGAUUUCAGUUUCAAUCAAAACUCCCUCCUCAUCCCUUGAUAAUGCAGCUGAUGUGAUCACAACAGAGCCGAUGGCAAUGUGCGAUGGACUUUUAUUGACAAAUUAUUUGGGAUUCAACCGGGUAGAAGCGGAAUCUGAUUCUCAAAUUGUUGUUGAAUCUCCUCCGGGCAAUCAAGUUGGUGGGAUGCAGUUUCAGCGAUUUUUGCAGAAUGCUUGGAUAUUUCUUCGAUGGUUGGGAAGGUUAACUUUAAACACUGUUUUUGGUCAGCUAAUAAAAAGGCACAUGUACUAGCUAAAUUUUCUUAUCUACUACCCCUAUAAAAGCACGAAAGGACGGAGAACCAAUUCAUCCCAUCCAUCAAAUCCUCUGAUCUGAUGGUCUACAUCGCUCCAUCAUUCUAAACGUGUUUUAUGUCUUAAUUACCUACCAUGCCAUUAACUGCUAACCUCUCCUACCCCUUUUCAUCACAAGAAAAAAGAAAACUGCUGCCUCCCGCUAUCCUCUCCCGAACACGCCGCCGCCCCGGCAGUUUGCCGCCCGUCACCACCCCGCGCCUCGCACGCCGCCUCUUCUCUGUUUCCCAUCCACGACUUGACGCGCCGGCGGAUCGGGAGGCAAAGAUUUUCCUUGUUUCUCUUCGCAACCGACCGCUUCCACCUGCAGCCAUUGCCAUCCCACGACGCCCCGUUGUGCCCUGCAUCUCGCCAUCGUCGAUGAGGCCCCCUGCAGGCACUGCCAAGCCGCGACGGCUCGCCAUGCUCUGCAUCUCGUGGCGACCCACAUCUGGCGCACCGUCCGUCUCACGGCGUCCCCCAUCUCGCCGCUCCAGCGAUGCCCUGCAUCCACCCGCUGCUCCCCGGCCACUUGAAGGUCCCCCGAUCCCCCCUCAUGUGAUAUCUAAUUUCAGGUUUUGUGAAGCCAUUAUCAGCUAGGGAUUGGAUAGCAGAAGCAUGACGUGUAUAAGAUCUGAACAUUGAAGACUUGCAAUGCAGCUCAAUGGUAUGCCUUCCUCAGUUCCUUAUAAUUGAAGCCUAAAUCCUAAACUGUUUUUUUAUACAAGCCUAAAUGUUCUCACGUGUUACUGCUUUUGUACAAGACAGCAUACGUACAACGUCUACAAAAGUAUUUUUGGACUGUUUUGUGUGCAUCGGGCAACACAUACAUUAAGCUGUUGCCAUUGUCCAUCAUCUCCUAAACUCUAUUCUAGGAAGCAUGGUUUCGUUUUAUAUAUAAGUAUGUUACCUUCUGUACAAUGUUGGUGAUUUGUCCAUGGAAAUAUUUAAUUAAACAGUGUUUAUCUUCUGCAUCUUUUUUUAUCUUUUUACCACGACAGGGAUGGAGCUCUCAGCGAUGUGGAGUUCAAUGUCUUUCAGGUUGUUCUAUACAGUGUUAUUAGUGUUUUAGUAUAUACUUAUUUGCAUAAGAAGUUUGCUUAUGUUAGUGAUUCCUCUCGGCAAAGGAAAUAUUCUGCCUUCAAUACAACAAAUAAAUUCAGUAUUCAUGCGCUAAAUGAAAAUCGUUAGUUCAUUAUUACUACAUUAUUACCAGCUAUUGAUUUUGUAAUAUUUAUUAAUUAGUAGUGCCUCACUACGAUGAACAUGUAUUUUGUUCUCCGCAAAAGAAGGAUUUUUCCGGCCUGUUAAUUUUUCAGAAAUUGUGACCUGCUGAAUCCUUUUUCCCUUACUGCACACAUGCACAUCAUUUUAAUUUCGUGUGCACUUCCCAACUUGUUAGUGCCAUCGUACCAUGUUUGUUAGUCAUGCUUUACUUAUUAUUUGGGCACCUUGGGGUAACAUCUUGCCAACGUUUCUUCAAAAUGGUGAAUACAUGUUGAAAAGCACUCGAAAUCAUAUUACCUUUCAUUUUGUUGGAAGGAAAAAUCUUUAAAACUGGAUAUAUUUUUCUUUACCCUGGAAAAGCACCUGUUCAGCAGUUGAUUUUUCCAAAUGCAUGUCCUCGGUAUAGUAGUUUUGCAGGAUAUAAGACAUGAUGGAAGACAUGACAAGGCUCCCUGGCUUACAUGCUUGCCCCUGACUGUGAUGUUAAACGGACGGAGGGACAUUGCUUUGGAGCCAGCUCAUUCCUCAUUCUGGAAGUGUGCACUGGUGUAAGAACGCUGGCACUUAAAACUAUCCUUAAUUUGUUUAUAUCUUUGUAAAGCACUUAUAAUGCUUGAGUUAUCAUGUUAGUCACAUAAAACAAUACGCACUUGCACUUUCAGGCAAACCUAGACUUGAUUGCCAGUUGCUCUACUCUAGGUGUUGGUUUAAUACUAAUACCGUGUCUCCAAACUUUAACCGUGGAAAUUAUAUGGCUCAUGUAAGUUCUAAUACUUUCAUAUUCAAGUUUAGCAAAGUGACGUACUAUUUUCUAAUGUAUGUGAGGAUAUAUGGCGCUUUAUUGCCUGGCAGGCUCAAUUUUGAUGACACAAUUAGAGUAAGUACUUGGAGAAAAUUUUAUUAUUUAUGAUAUCUUUUUUAAGAGGUUUUAUUGCCAAUGAAGUCCAAAGGUAGAGCUGAAAAUUAUCAUGCUUAAGAAUUUAUGUGACUUCUAUAAUAGUGUUUGUCGUACCAGCAUCUCUUUUACAGAUCAAACAUAUUUUCUGUAGUAUCCUAGCUUCAAACUAUUUCCUAGUGCUCUUUUGUAAAUUGUGGUGAUGCAUGUCGUAGUACUCAGGCAGUCUGAUAAUUUAUUAUUUCAUCUCUUUUUCGUAAUGAAAUGUAUUGGUUAAUCUUACAAAGUUGAUAUGCUCCUCACUUCAAGCACAAACUCCAUGCCCAUCGAGUUGCAUUUGUGUUCAGCCAACACACUGGAAAACUGAGAAACUUGUGCUCGAUCGCCUCCAAGAAGUAGAAAUUAGUGAACUAUCAGGAACUGAACAUGAACAUGAUUUUGUGCAACGGUUAUUCAAUUGGGCAACAUCCUUCAAACAAAUAAUUUUUAUCGUAAUAUAUUUCUAAUAUUUAAGUGUGCGUGAUGUAUUUUAGAUAGUACCGACCAUCUGAACUUCUUGUGUAGUUCCACUAAUAUUGUGUGCCCGAUUGUUAUUGAAAUUAACAAAAUAUUUAUAAAGUUAUAAUAAAAAUGUACAAUCUCCAAUAAUACAGUGGGUAUUAAUUUGUUAAGACGUGCGUUGCACGUGUUGCUUACUAGUCUUAUUGUAACAAGACUUUGUCUAGUUGGUUGAAUGAGCCCCCUGACAUUAUUGUUAUUGAGUUUGUGAACAAUGCACUCCUUGUUUCUUCUUAAUAAAGCUAGGCAUGAUGCGAUAAUCAUUUUUGAGCCCAGGCUCAUCUGCACCCACGUUGAGGAAAAAAUUCAAAACAAAUACUAGAAAAAUUUAAAAAAUUCAUUUUUUUUGCAUGGUAGAUAAUUUGAUGCGCGAGGUUCGUUACAUUUUUUAAAUAAUUUGGACAUUUGAGUAGCUCUCGGCAAAAAAGACAAAUUCGGGGUCUGUAAACAAGUUUACUGUUCAUGCAAUGUUCUGACCCAAUUUUUCUUUUUUGCUGAGAGCUAUUGAGAUGUCCAAAUGGAUUGAAAAUUGGGACACACCUCAGGCGACAAAUUUUCUACCAUGCAAAAAAAGGAGUUUUUUUGAAUUUGUUGUUAUUUUUUUUCGACCGGGUGCAGAUGAGUCUGGGCGCCGAAAUGCUGCACUCGCCAUGAUGGUCUUUUGUAAAAAAAAGUUUCAGUCUACCCGCAAAAGAAAAGUAAACCCAUUGGUUUCAGUCAGACAAUGUCACGUUUUUUUAGGGAUAGUGUCACGUUUUCUUGCAUGUCGGCCUGGGUGCCCGAUAUUUGCUAGGCCUUGUUGGGCCGUCAGAGCCCAUCAUACAAUAGUUACCUCCCCCUGUCGCUGAAAUGAAACCCUCAUUCCUCCUGUGUGCGGGUGCGCCAUGGCCUCGCCGCAGCAGUCGCCGCCGGCGAAGAAACCCCCACCACUCCCCCCGACGACCAUAAGCGCCCUGGACCUAGACACCCUGCGCGAGAUCUUCCUCUGCCUCCCCUCUCUCCCGAGCCUCGCCCGCGCCGCCCUCAGCUGCCGCACCUUCUUGGACGCCGUCCGUUCAUCGCCCGCUUUCCGCCGCCGGUUCCGUGCGCUCCACCCACCCCCGCUCCUAGGCCACUUCCUCACCACCCAAGACACCACCAUCCCCACCUUCGUGCCCCUCCGCAGCCGCUCCGACCCGGACAUAGCGGCGGCGGUACGCGGCGCCGAUUUCUUCCUCACCCGCCUCCCAGUCCUCGAAGACGGCGCCGUGCCCGUUCCUGCACCCGUCUCCGCCCCCGAAGACAACGGGGAUGGCGUGUCCAUUCCUUUCCCCGCCCCCGCACCCGAAGACGACGGCGAGGAUGCCGUCUCCGGCUCUGAAGACGACGACGAGGAUCCCAUCCCCGACCCCGAGUGGUCAAUCGACGACUGCCGCGACGGAUUCGUCGUUCUCCACAACUGGAGCACUCAGCAGAUCGCCGUCUACAACCCGCUCGCCCGGACCCUGGACCUCUUCCCCCUGCCGCCCCGCCGGGAGGACUGCGAGGGCCAGUAUUCUGAUUACUACAUCCUCGCCGAGGAAGAAGAAGAAGACUACUUGCCGUAUCGCGUCGUGUGCGUCUGGCACAGCGAACGCGGGGCGCGCGCCAUGGUUUUAUCAUCGGACACCAGCAAGUGGCAGAUUUUCCCAUGGGUAGACAUUGAUGGGCUCUGGCCUCAAACUGGUAAGCUGGUGAAUGGCUGCAUCUAUUGGACCAUUGGGAUGAAUGAUGCCCGUGUGCUUAACACUGCUACAAUGCAAUUCUCUCGGAUGGAUAAGCCGCCACGCAGGAGAGGGAAUGAGAUAUUGACGGCUGGUAAGACCAAGGAUGGAAGACUCUGUGUGGUCUGCGCACCUUUGGGGCCACUGACAUUUGAAUCCGUGCUUGCUGUUUGGAUUCGGAGAGCCGAUGAUGAUGGCGUCGAGAGGUGGAUGUUGGAUAAGUCACUCCCCUUGCAGGAGAUAGCUGGAAUCGUUCGGUGUGAAUUCAAGGAAGACAAUGUUAAAUAUCAAGUGACUGUUAGGACGAUUAUCGAUGGAUUUGUGUACUUCUCUGCUUAUUGUGGGGUGUGGCAGCAUCAUCAUUCGACACUCUGGCUCCUAUCAUUCUGCUUGGAAACAGCGGCGCUGAACAAGCUUGGGCGUAUCCUUAGUGGUGUUUCCUAUCCCUACAUCAUGCCGUGGCCUCGUUCUUUGGUUGGUACACAGCAAGGUGACUAAGCCCUCGGCUCAAGGUUGAUUGACUAGGAGGAUCAAAUUUUGUUACUAAGCUUUAUUUAUCUUGAAGUUAUGAACUGUUGUUUUGCCAUGGUAAUUUGAUUUACUCGUCUGAAAAAGAAUAAAUCAAGAUGCCGAGGAUCUGUUGAGAAUUGUCAAUCAUUUGCAUACCUUUGAACAUACUAGCAAUCAUACUCCUACUCUAUGCAUACUGGAAAUGCCUAUAAGAUAUUUUCAAAUUAUCUUCAAGAAAAAAAAGGAGUAAUUUUAUUUGCUAGAGAUUCCCUCAGAGUAGCUACAGAUAUCAUAUGAGAAUGUAACAAGUUUCAUAUAUCCAAAUAGCUAGAGAUAUUUUGUGGUGAUCAGUAAGAUAUCUACAUUAUCAAAUGGAACUAACUUGUUUCUCAUUUUACUUCUGUUAGCAAGGUUACAUAGGUUCUCUUGUUCAUCACGCACAUACAUUACAAAAAUAAUACAUCAAAUAGCUGGCUGUCCUAUGUAGAAAAUGGUUUGUAGUGUAUUUUUUUUGCAGGUGGACGUCAUUUGUUUUUUAAUACUCCCUCCAUUUCCUUAUACAAGGUCUAGCAAUAUAUCAACUUAUACCAGUGCAGGAGUAGAAAGAUUCGUAGUGUGAUUGUUAAUAGACAUAUUGGUCCUAGCAUUAUAACACUAACACACUCUGCACUAGUAGACAAUUGUACUAGGUGAAAUUAGCUAGAUUUUUCUUGGCAUUACUUAUUUCAAGUUUGUGUGCCUCAAUAGGAAUACAUCUUUGUGAUGCAACUUGGCUGUUGGGAGUAUAUGUUAUCUUUAUACUUUUCCUGAUUGCAUCGUUUCACAAAUAGACCCGGAAAUCGGGAAAGAUGGUCAGUUAUUUCUUCAGCACCUUAGAAGUUACAAUGUCAUCUCUUGCUGCCAUUUCUUAUUUUUGGAUAAAACAACUUACACAUACAUUCCAUUUGGUGAGGCUGAGGACAGAUUUUAAAAGAUUUUGAGCUAUAUCGCUUAUAUUUUUCUUAGCUAUAGCUGAUACUACUAUCUUUGCCAUCUCUGUGAGUAAAAUCACUAUCUGCCCACUCGUACCAAGCUUCAAAGAUUUACUGAGUUUAAAUGUUCUGCAAAUCAAGAUGUAGCUGCCCUACUGCACAAGUAUCUUUAGCUAAAUUUUAUUUUAUGGCCUUCUUGAUUAUGUUGACAUGAUAGCCUAGCAACCUGGAGCAAUUCUAGCUUUAGCAGGCAGAGUGAGAAACUGGGAACUAAUUCUCUGAUAUAGCAGGCAGCAGAAAGUAAAAGUCAAUGUCAAGCUAGUUUUUGCAUAACCAUCUUAUCCAACGUGGUCUGAUUGAAUUGAUUUCAUUUUACAGCAAACUAGCUUAUCCAGUUAAAGACACACAAUUCUCUUGCGUGCUCUUGAAUUGAAGUGAUGUCUGCUCAUUAAGCUGCAUAAUGUGACUCCUCAAGGCAAAGGUGUAGAAGAAGAAACAUUUGUGCCGUUUGUACUGGCAACAUGGUUGGUUAAAACUAGGGAUCUUGACUGGGGAAUACCAAGGAAGCGGGGCGACAAGUUUGCAAGCAGGGCUUCAUCAAUAUGCAAGAAUUGUUGGCUCACACGACAAAUCGUAACUAUCUGCAGUUAGAACUUGCAAUGUCUUGUCAGAACUUCCAUAGAGCUCUUAAGGUGCGGAGUGACUGCCUAUCAGUCUAGGGAAUGAAACUCUGAACGAUCACGCUGUUCAUGCAUUGAAACAGGUUCUGUAUAACAAUUAGAGAAGAAACGAUCUGAAUUUGCCAUUGUUGUCAGUCUUUCUUACCACGCGGCUAGUACCUAUGCGUGGAAUUUUUGCGGCGUAUUUCUAUGUGAAACAAAACGAAUGCAAAAUUUGAUGAAGACCCAGACAAAGUAUCAAUAUGUUUCAGAUAGAUGCAAACAAAAAAAAAA